GACGAACGCUUUCCCCUUUCUUAACACAUGCAAGUCGAACGGAAAGGCCCUGCUUUUGUGGGGUGCUCGAGUGGCGAACGGGUGAGUAACACGUGAGUAACCUGCCCUUGACUUUGGGAUAACUUCAGGAAACUGGGGCUAAUACCGGAUAGGAGCUCCUGCUGCAUGGUGGGGGUUGGAAAGUUUCGGCGGUUGGGGAUGGACUCGCGGCUUAUCAGCUUGUUGGUGGGGUAGUGGCUUACCAAGGCUUUGCAUGGUAGCCGGCCUGAGAGGGUGACCGGCCACAUUGGGACUGAGAUACGGCCCAGACUCCUACGGGAGGCAGCAGUGGGGAAUAUUGCACAAUGGGCGGAAGCCUGAUGCAGCAACGCCGCGUGCGGGAUGACGGCCUUCGGGUUGUAAACCGCUUUCGCCUGUGACGAAGCGUGAGUGACGGUAAUGGGUAAAGAAGCACCGGCUAACUACGUG
rnacentral:rRNA from 1 species